GAUGAACGCUAGCGAUAGGCCUAACACAUGCAAGUCGAGGGGCAUCACAUGAAGUAGCAAUACGGAUGGUGGCGACCAGCGCACGGGUGAGUAACACGUAUGCAACCUGCCUUCAACAAGGGGAUAACCCGUUGAAAGACGGACUAAUACCCUAUAACACAGGGGUCCCGCAUGGGAAUAUUUGUUAAAGGACAACCGGUUGAAGAUGGGCAUGCGUUCCAUUAGCUAGUUGGCGGGGUAACGGCCCACCAAGGCAACGAUGGAUAGGGGAACUGAGAGGUUUAUCCCCCACACUGGUACUGAGACACGGACCAGACUCCUACGGGAGGCAGCAGUGAGGAAUAUUGGUCAAUGGACGCAAGUCUGAACCAGCCACGUCGCGUGAAGGAAGACGGCCCUACGGGGUUGUAAACUUCUUUUAUACGGGAAUAAAGUGCCCCACGCGUGGGGUUUUGCAUGUACCGUAUGAAUAAGGAUCGGCUAACUCCGUGCCAGCAGCCG
rnacentral:rRNA from 1 species